GGGCCCGCACAAGCGGUGGAGCAUGUGGUUUAAUUCGAUGCAACGCGAAGAACCUUACCAAGGCUUGACAUACUACAGAUUUCUUUGAAAAAGGAAAGUGCCUUCGGGAAUGUAGAUACAGGUGGUGCAUGGCUGUCGUCAGCUCGUGUCGUGAGAUGUUGGGUUAAGUCCCGCAACGUAGCGCAACCCCUUAUUUUAGUUGCUAAUUUAGUUUAGGUUUUCUAGAAAGACUGCCGGUUAUAAACCGGAGGAAGGUGGGAUGACGUCAAGUCAGCAUGCCCCUUACACCCUGGGCUACACACGUGCUACAUUGGGCGAGACAAUGAGAUGCAAAUCUGUGAAGACUAGCU
rnacentral:rRNA from 1 species